rnacentral:tRNA from 10 species
CUUUUAAAUGUGAAACUGAAUUUGCUGUAGGAAAUACUUUUGAAAACCUCACAUUUUUCUGUGGCAGGUCCAUGAAUCACCAAAGGUACCCAUGUAGAACGUAAAUGCAAAUAUGUUCCUCUGGGUUCUUUCAGUAUCUGACAAAAUGUCAUCUUUUCAUCAAUGUUACCAAGUUAUCCUUUGCUUCUGCCCUGAAACAGGUGUUUUCUGGCUGUCAGAAAUUGUCUGGGUCUCUUCUCCUCUAUAACAUCUGGCCCCUCCUGCCAGAUUCUGCCUCAACCUUGAUUUCUCCAAUAACCCAGCUUAACCCAGAUUAGGGGUAAAACUCCAGGGCUCUGGACCCUUGGGAGGGGGCACCCAAUGCUCACAUGGCUUAGAGUGCAUUGUUAGGAGAAUGUGUCCUAACAGUGAUGUCACUUGAGUGGCACUCAACACUUAGUUCUCAAGCGAAGCUGCAGUGGCAGGAUGGCCCAGCUGGGCUCAGCAAGGGUGGUUCUACCUGCUCUCCCAUCCCUGUGGCAACUGCCUUGGAUCAGUCAGGGAUCUCCAGAGAAAGAACACCAAUAGAAGAUAUAUAGACAUAUAUAAGAGGAGAUUUAUGAUGGGAAUUGACUCAUUCAAUCAUGGAGGCAGAGAAGUCCCAUAAUCUGCCAUCUGCAAGCUGGAGAAUCAGGAAAGCUGGUGGUAUCAUUCAGCCCCACGCCAAAGGCCUGAGAACCAGGAGCUCAGAUGUCUGAGGGCAGGAGAAGAUGGACGUCCCAGCUCAAGGACAGAGAGUAUUUGCCCUUCUUCAGCCUUUUUGUUCAGUUUUGCCCCUCAACAGAUUAGAUGGUACCAGGGAACAUUGGUGAGGGCAGAUCUUUACUCAGUCUACUGGUGCUAAUGCUAAUCUCUUCUGGAAACACCCUUGCAGACACACCCAGAAAGAAUGUUUGACCAGCUGUCUGGGCAUCUAUAGGCCCAGUCAAAUUGACACAUAAAAUUAACCCUUGUGUUUUUUGUUUGCUAGUUUGUUUGUUUUGACAGUGUCUUACUCUGUCACCCAGGCUGGAGUGCAGUGGCAUGAUCUUGGCUCAGUGCAGCCUCAACCUCCCAGGUCCAAGCAAUUCUCCCACAUCAGCAGCCUCUGGAGUAGCUGGAAUCACAGGCUGAUGCGUGCUUCUGAACAGCUGACCCUGAGGCCUUCAUCCACCUCUUGACCAGGACCCCCUCAUCAGGGCUUCCAUCCAGGAAUUUGAGAAGGAUUUAAACACCAUGAAGAAAAAGAGUUUGCUGUGAAAUUUGUGGAGGGAAGAGCAAUAAAAAGUCAACAUCUCCCAGCGGGACAGGACGAGUGCGCUGCUAUUUCCCGAAAGGCGCUCAGGAAGGGCCCUGCCUCCGGGUGGGGAGGAGAGGCGGGCAGCCUGGACUUAACCAGAGCCUGCCAGUUGCUCGUGUUUAUUGAGGGCCAUCUGCUCUCAGGGCCCUCAAUCUUGUACUCGGUCUAUUUGGAAAAGGAUUUAAAGGGCAAAGAAAAUAAUAUCUUCAUCUACUAUUCGGGCUUUUCCAGGACAAUACUGAUUUCAAAUAUUUUAUCCUCCUGUCGCCUUAAGCUAUCACAAAUGUUUUAGAAAUCCCAACUUCGUAGUGUCUAAAUGGAAUUUUCAGAAUUGCCUGUAAACCUCUUACCUUCUGCAGCACAAAAUCCUUUCUCUGAACACACAUCUCAGAUUUUUGGCUGGGAUAAUACAGUCAUCAUAGAAUACUGAACAGAAGGAAUUUCAAGGAAGGCAAUUUAAAGUUAGAGGGAAGAGCAGUAAAUGUAAAACUAUAAACAAAUAAAAAUGAAAUAAUAGCUCGUUCUUAUUGAGAGAUUUAGUGCCGUGCUUAUGGUUGUGGAUACUGAAGCCAGUCUCUCUGGGUUCAUAUCCCAGCUUUGAUACUUACUAGCUGUGUGACCUGGACAAGCCAGUUAACCUCUCUGUGCCUCAGUUUCCUCAUCCACUAAAAUGUGGAGAAUGGUACAGGGUUAUGAGGGUUUCGUGAGG